ensembl:lncRNA
GGGCUAAUCUUAACAAGAAGGAUGUAAAAUUUGGGGGGAAUCCCCAUGCGGGCCACCAAAUGUUGAGGGAUAAGACACCCUAACAACAUUUGGGGGUCCCAAGUUGGUGCAGCGGAUAUGGUGAAAGAAUUUACAGACCCAGUCUCCAAGUUAAGUGGCAAAGGAUUUAUUGAUGCUGAGAACAAUGGGCUAGAUUCUUUACUGGAAUAGCAUAAUGCUGAGGGACAGAGAACAUAUUUAUCCAGCUUUUUGUGGCCCAAGGAUAAAGCUAGAGAGUCUAUCACUAGCAUGUUAGUUCUAUGGCCCAAGGGUAGGGUUAGAGAGUCUAUUAUUGGCAUGGGAUAUGACCCAAGGGUAGGGCUAGGGAGUGUUCAGAUUGAGUGGAGUCUCCGAAUGGGUCUCUGAAAUUUGAUUCUCACUGACCACAUCAUGAGGCAGCAAUGAACUAAGAAAUAAUCUAUUCAGAAUCAGAUAGAUUGGGCAUGGAAGUUUCCUGAGACUGACUCCAAAACCAAAAAAUUUAGGAUUUCCUGACUUAUAGUUAAAACAGAAGCCUCCCUAAAAUCAGGGGAAACAAAAUCAUAUCACAUCACAACCACCCAAGAAAUCAACCAUUACUUAAAAUUUUGCCAAUCCCCAACCCUUUGUUUUUACACCUAGACCAAGGAGAUUUUGCUGAGUAAGAGCUCCCUAACAAGAUAAACUCCUGAUUUUUUAUGGUCUUACUAGUUUUACCUAAAGCAAAGUCCCUAAUGCCUCCAAAACUAUAGUUUAUAGCGAUUUCCCCUUAUUCUCUUUUCUGCUUGUCUUGAUGAGUUAGUUAGAGCUAGGCACUGGACUGAAAGACUCUUUGAACAUCUAGGAGAUUUCUGUCACUGACUGGGAGUGGGUAGAAAAUUUGAUCCCUAGUUGUUCUGAGGAUAAGUUUGGCAGUUAGCAAAAAGGAAUUUUUGUCUCCUAUUUGUAGAAUAAACAAGAUCUCUGUGUGAGAUGAUUUGGGGAGAACUGCAGAUAAAAUGAAUCAUAUAAGACAGUGCACGCUCAAGUACUAUAGAUGAGGUCUUCCUUGAGAGAGGCAGAAAAACAACGGCAAAGAGAAGUCACAGAGACAAAGAGAAAGCCUAAAAAGGAGAAAAACAGGUAAUAAUAGAAAGACCGAGAGAAAAAAAGAGAAGAAAAAAAGUGAGGUAAGUAUGCAAAGAAAUAAUGAUCUCUUUGCUAGCUCGCUAGAUAAUGAAGAUUCCUUCAACCAUGAAAUGGAAAGACAGAUACCAAAAAAAAAAAAAAAAAUUGCUAGAUCCCACAAGGAAAGGACCUUCAAACACAUGAUGGACCACCAUUAAGCAAUCCUAAUUGCAAUCCUACCUAGAAGUAAGAUCAUUCCUAACAUGGCUUUUCAAAGCCAAUUGACUCCAACAUUAAGGGUUGCCUAUUGCAUUUCCAUACUUAUCCACCCAUCCAUCCCCUCAGCUAACCUGACCAAUGGCCUGAUCUUUAUCUCUUACCUCUGAGGUUUGACCUAAGCAGCCUUCCUUCUGUUUCUGCCAUGUUUCAACUCUUCCCUUCUUUAUUCCAAAGAUAAAGGCCUCCUCCCCAACAACCUUCCAAUUCAUGUCACUUUAAUCUUCAUGAACCUGUGUACUUUUCAUUGAAUUUAUUUGUAUGUGUGUAUGUGUGUGUUUUAUCUUUCAUUUUCUGUAGAGGAUCACAGAUAGCGGGGAAACUCUGGAUAAAGUAUAAGAUCCUUCAGCCCAGAGGAAACUUGCUGACAAUGUCUGGUUUGGCUCUCCAUUUGCCUUUGUGUUUUUACCUCCUUUCCUGAGAAGUCAGGGAGGGCACGACCACCUGUGUUCUACUUGAAGCAAGGGAUACUUACAGCAGGGUGCUUAUUAAUUAUAAGCUUGCUCAGUGUGAUUGAUGGGAUAAUGGUUCUCUAGUUUGCAUAUAGUGUGCUGUAAUGAUGUUUAACAUACUGAGGUAUUUAAGGGCUAAGAGGACUGGAAAUGAGACUCUCCAUCCUUGACCAUCCUCCUGGUGGCUCUCCUGCCCACUCCACUAAGACCAAGGCUGAUCCCAAGAUCCUCCAGAGAGCUAGUCUGGAUGCUACAUUUUGGCGCCCGAACUGGGACCUCCAGAAGGACGCUACAUUUUGGUGUAUUGUUAAGGAUUGUGCCUCGGUGUAGAGGUAGGUCAGUUCUCUGAGACCUCCACAGAAGGAGUUGCAAAGCAGCCUUCGCAGAUGUUCCUUGUGGAUUGGGAAUGAAAUAAAUUGGAGACAAGAGGGAAGAGGAGAGAGGUCAGAAAACAGCAACUGCCUCUCAGUCUCCUUGUAUCAUCAUCAUCAUCUUCUCACAUGAAGAGAUCCAUUGUAGAGGUCUGAGUUAGACCUCCAGCAGCCACUGGCAGAUGGCUCCCAUGUCACAAUUUUCUUUCCUGUUUUUUCCAUUAUUAUGUUUGUUCUGUCUCUCCAACUAGACCAAAGACUUUUCAAGUGCAUAAAUCAUAUCUCCCAUUUCUUUUUUCUGGAUCAUUUCAUUGGGUUUGCAUAUGGUAUAAAAGACACUUUCUAAUACAAUUAGGUUCCUAAAAGAGGAAAAUUCUAUUUCUCAGGCUCAGAACAGAUGACCAAAUCUAGCCAUUUGCCUCAAGUUUGUAAGGAGAAAAGGGUUAAAAUGUGUGGGUGGUGUCCUGCUCCUAAAAAAACAAAUACCAAUCAUAUAUCCUAUACUAUGUGUAUGUAUACUCGGGUCAUGGACUUCAUUUUCUUAAACAAAGGAAUUUUUUACCAUUAUAAUUUUUAGAGAAUAUCCUAGUCAUCUUAAAAAAAAAAGCAGAACAUAGAAGAGUGGGAGAGAAGGGACAUCGUUGAUGUUCUCUCCAUUAUUCAAUUAAUUAAUUAGGACAUCAUGGGUUUUCUUACAUUUACAACUUUCUUAUCAAAAGGGUGGAACAUGGUGAUGAUAAUUAACAGAGCUGAAAGAAACAUUGUGUCUAUGAUGGGAUGUCAGUGGAGAGAGAAGUGAAUGAAGAUGGAUCAUUAGAUAAGAAAAGGGAGGAAAAAAUACCUUCACUGCUAUGUUUUGACAAGCUCACAAGUACAAACAAAAAUUGUAAAAGCUUGUGAAAUAUCUCAUCUCUCUUUUUUUCUCUGUCAUUCUUCAGAGUCCAGGUCAAAGGUAAAGCCAUGAAUAAUAAAAGUUCCCCAGGAGAUUUUAUUCUCUUGGACUUCUCUGACCCCAGGUUAUAGAAAGUCCUUUUUGUGUUGGUACUGACUUCCUAUUUUCUGACUUCGGUUGACAAUACAUUCAUCAUUUUACUAAUCUAUUCUGGACUCCAAACUUCACACUCCCAUGUACUUCUUUUUUUCCAACCUCUUCUUCCUGAAUCUAUGCUUCACCACAAGAUGUGUUCCCAAGUUACUGUCCAACCUCUGAGGUCCAGAGACCAUCAGCUUUACUGGUUGUGCAAUUCAGCUAUUUGUGUUCCUAUCCCUAGGGACCACUGAGUAUAUCCUGCUGCUUGACUUUUGAUCAAUAUGUGGCAACAUCAUGUACUCCCACCUUAAGCAGAGACAUGCAGCUAUAGCCUGGAUCUUUGGACUGUUAAAGUCUAUGGCCCAGACAUCAUCCAUUUUUCAUUUACCAUUCUGCUCCUGAUGAAGAGUUGAUGAUUUUGUAUAUGAAGUUCCAGCUCUUAUCCAUCUUUCCUGUGAGGACACUACCUCACAGAUGGCUGUGGCCAGUGUACCCAUCCUGAUUGUGCCGCUGACACUCAUUUUGAUUUCCUGUGGUGUUAUUGUCCAGGCUGUGCUAAGGAUUAAUUCAGCAGUAGGAUGGAAAAAAAGCUUUGGGGACUUGCUCCUCCCACCUCCUGGAGGUCUCCUUCUACAAUUCUGUCAUCACUGUCUACCUUCAGCCCAAGAACUCCUAUGCCUAGGACCAAGGAAAAUUCUUUGCUGUAGGGACUCCUGCACUAAAAUGCCUCAUAUAUACCCUGAGAGACAAGGAGGUGAAGGAAGCACUGAGGAGACUUUUGGGGAAGAUCAAGCAACUAGGGGAAAGCUGAAACAUUAAUACUGAGAUCUUUCUAAAGUUUCCAUUGUUUUUCGAUUGUAUCUGGAAUCCACAAUUAACUGCCUUACCCAAUCACCAAUUCAACACAUAACCUCAGAGUGAGGAAGGGCUGUUUAAGAUGAGAAUUUGUUAAAUAUAAGACAUAUAUGUCUAACUUCCUUUUGUUUUUCUCCUCUACCCUAUAUCCAUCUUUAUCUUCCUCUGGCUUCACUUGAAUUUUUAUCCUAUAUAAUAUUCCCUGGUUUUGCUAGCUCUGUCUUAACUGGUCAUCUCUUAUCAUUUCUUUUAUUUCCAACCACCAUCUCUCUGUUACUCCUUGAAUCUUCUUUGGCCUAUGUGAUCCUAAACAAGUCACCCAUUCUCUAUAUUUCCUCAUCUGCAAAAUGAAGGAAGUGACUUCUGAAGUAACUUCAGAUUUGAAAUCAGUGAUUCUCUGAUCCUAUCAUCUUUUUCAGUAGUGUGUAUAUAUAUUAGUCCUAUUUUGCUCCUUUUUUAUUAUUUUUCCUUUUUUUUUCUCCACUCCUUUUUUUUCCUUAAUGGAUCUUUUUUAACAGAUUCAAAGACAGUGUCUGGGCAUGGAUAGAAAUUAUCUAAUUUAACUAAUAUCUGCUCAAAAAUAUCCAACAAACUAUCUGUCCAGGCUUUUCUUUUUGAUUACCUUUUUUUUUUUAUUCUGAAUUCUUUCCCUCCCACUUACUCCUUUCCAAGUCAUGGAGAAAGCCAAAAAACAAAACAAAAACUUACAAAAUAUAGAUAGCCAAGCAACAUAAAUUUCUUCAUUAGUCAUGUCCAAGAAAAGGAAAUAUGAUUCAAUAUGCAUUCUGAAGCCAUUAGUUCUCUACAUGAAGUUGCAUCAUAUGCCCUUUAGAAUUGAUUCUAUUAUAUUGAUUAGAGUAGCUGAGUCUUUCAAAAUUAUUUCUUUGCCAUAUUAUUGUCAUUGUAUACAUUUUUAACCUGGUUCUGCUCACUUCACUUUGCAUCAGUUUCUGUCUUUGCAAAUCUUUCUAAAACUAUCCUCCUCAUUAUUUCUUAUACCACUAUAGUAUUCUAUCACAUUCAUAAGUUGUUUAGCCAUUACUCAAUUUAUGGGCACCCCUCAAUCUCCAAUUUCUUGGAGAUUGAAGACAUUGGACAUAACAAAAAGAACAACUACAAAUAUUUCUGAACAUAAUAGAUACUUCUCUUUUUUUAUCUUUUUGGUAAAAACCUUAUCUUGCAGACUUCAAAUAAAAGAAAUGACAUUUAUUGUUUGAAAAUGUUAAUACUAAAAAGAAUCUUAAAGAUCAUCUAGUUCAAGCCCCUUCUUUCACAGAGGAGGAAAAUGACUCUUAGAGAAAGAAAAAAAUUGAUUGCCUUAAGUGAUUGCUCAAGGUUUUAUAGCAGAUAAAGAACUGGCUUUUAAAGUUGAAAAGAUUUGAAUCCAAAUCUUUCCUUAAACACUAGUUUUGUAAAAUUGGAUAAAUCACUGAACCUCUCUCAGCCUAAGUUUUCUCAUCUUGGAAAUAAUGGAGUUGAAUUCGGUGACCUCUUAGACCCAUUCUAGCUCUAAAUCUAUAAUUUUAAGUAGCAGUACCAUAAUUCAAAAGCAACUUGCUUUCAGGUUCAUUACUCUUCCAAUGUAUAAUAGCUAGCAUUUAUAUAGCACUUAAGAUUUGUACACAUUAUCUCAUUUAAUCCUCACAACAACAAUGGAGUUGGUGAUGCUAUUAUUAUCCACAUUUUGCAACUAAAAAAAAAACUGAAACUAAGAAAAUUUAAGUGACUUAUCCAAGAUCACACAGCUAGAAAGUAGCUAGAAGGCCACAAAUCAGCCUCUAUGACUAUUCUUAGGCCUUAUUUACUACACCUACUUUGCUUUAUUUCUUUUCUGUGCCUUUUAGCACUGCUUUAGGCUUCAUUAUUGUUUUGAUUUCUUUUUCAGUUGGUCAACUAGAAUUUAUUAAGUUCCUACUUGUGCCUAGGCACUGUGCUAAGCAUCAAAUAUACAAAGAAAGGGAAAAAAUACUCCUGAUCUCAAGGAACUCAUAGUCUAAUUGGGAAGAUAACAUGCAAAUACUUAUGUACAAACAAAUUACAUACAGGAUGAAUUGAUGGUAAGAAUUAUUUCUUUUUUUCUGUAUAUGCCUACUACAAGUCCUGAUAUGCUUAAUAAAUCUUACUGAAUCAUUGGAUGACAAGAGGAUCCAAUCUAGACAUACUUGAAUCUUGAAGAAUAAAUUUAAUAAUGUAAUGUGUUGCACUUAGGUUCAAAAAAUUAACUUCACAAGCACCAGAUGAAAAAGACAUGUUUAGAUAGUAGUUUGUGUGGGGAAAAAAAAUCUUGGUAUUUUAAUAUACUUGAAAGCUCAACUUACGUCAAUAAUGUGAUAUGUGAUCUUGAGGUAUUUUAAGAAAAGCAUAGCUCACUACAACCAGUGAAAAUCCCACAGUAUUUCGUCAUGAUCAGAUGACAUCUAUAGUAUUGUUCUGUAUCAGUUUAAGAAGGAUAUUGGUCAUUAAGCCCAAAAACCUCCAUUUAAGGGAGAUCAGGAUAGUGAAGGACCUUGAUUCUACCACAAGAGUUUCAAUUGAAGAAACUAGGAAUAUUUAGCCUCAGGAAGAUUGCAGAGGGCAGGGAAGAAGGAGCAGAGACAUGAUAGUCAUGCUCAGAAAGAGCACUCACUCUGGAGAGCACCUAUGUUCAAAUCUCAUCUCUGAUAUUACUUGAGUGACCUCUCAUGACCUCAAUUAUCUCAUCUUCAAUGACCCUAAGUAUCUGAAGAUCUGUCAUAUGGAGGAAGGAUUAAAUCAGAGAAAGCAGAAUAUGAGACUUCUGGGGAUGGAGUCAAGAUGGCAGAGUAAAGUCAGGGAUCUGUUGAAGCUUCCUCAGUUUCCCCUGAAAAACCACAUGAAACCAAACCUCUGAAGAGAGUCUGAGGGAACAAAACCACUCUUCAGCUCAAGGCAGACUGGAAAAACUUCAAGAAAGGUCAAUCUCACUAGGGUGAAAGGGGUGUUCAGCCCUGCUCUGCUAAACUCUGGGAAAGCUGAUAAGAGGGUCUUAAUCACAGCAAAUCAGCCACUACUGAGCCAUCAGUUCUGGCUCAGUAGAAGAGCAAAUCAGUAGGGCACUUUCCAGUCUCAGCUCAGAAGGCAAACUCUGGGAAAUCAGGCUGUUUCCUGAAAAGAGCAGGCAAAACUACGCUCUAUAAACACAAGAGGCCCCUGUGCUCAAAGCCAAGUUCAGAGCUAUAUAGGAAGCUUAGGACAGCACCACCUUUACCCCAGUAGCAGAGCUCAGCAUAAAAGUUUAAAAAAAAAUUAAAAUAACAAAAAUAAAAAAGUAAAAAAAGUAAAUACCUAAAGGAAGGGGGAAAAAUAAGCAAAAAACAGAAAAGAACCUUGACCACAGAAAGCUACUAUGGUGACAGGGCAGACCAAAACCCAAACUCAGAUGAGCACAGAAUAUCCACAGAAGAAAUAUCAAAUGAUGAUAUGAAUUGGUCAGCCAAAAGACCCAAAGCCCAAAGAGACUUUUUGGAAGUGCUUAUAAAAGACUUUUAAAAGC